UUGCAUCUUCUGAAAUAUUCCAUAACCUAUUAGAAAUUCCAAGCACUAGUUAAAAGGCCAUUAGGCCUGAAUUUGUGGGAGGAGUUAUGGCCCCCUACUUAAACCCCUAGCCCCUACUCACCUCUCCGUUCAAGCUUAUUGUCCCCACCCACCUACACCCAUCUACAUAUUACAUUUCACCUUUGUGCGCCCUCUUUUUAUUACAGGUCUACUUGUAUGUUUAUUUCGGCACACCUCAACCAACAUUGCAUCUUCUGAAACAUUCCAUAAUCUAUUAGAAAUUCCGAGCACUAGUUAAAAGGCCAUUAGGCCUGAAUUUGUGGGAGCAGUUAUGGCCCCUACUUAAACUCCUAGCCUCUACUCACCUCUGCCGUUCAAGCUGAUUGACCCCACCCACCUACACCCAUCUACAUAUUACAUUUCACCUUUGUGGGCCCUCUUUUUAUUACAGGCCUAGUCGUACGUUGGCUUCGGCACACCUCACCCAACUUUGCGUCUUCUGAAACAUUCCAUAACCUAUUAGAAAUUCUGAG